UACGUAGGGUGCAAGCGUUAAUCGGAAUUACUGGGCGUAAAGCGUGCGCAGGCGGUGAUGUAAGACAGGUGUGAAAUCCCCGGGCUUAACCUGGGAACUGCAUUUGUGACUGCAUCGCUGGAGUGCGGCAGAGGGGGAUGGAAUUCCGCGUGUAGCAGUGAAAUGCGUAGAUAUGCGGAGGAACACCGAUGGCGAAGGCAAUCCCCUGGGCCUGCACUGACGCUCAUGCACGGAAAGCGUGGGGAGCAAACAGG
rnacentral:rRNA from 1 species